rnacentral:rRNA from 1 species
AUUGAACGCUGGCGGCAGGCCUAACACAUGCAAGUCGAACGAGUGGCGGACGGGUGUGUAAUGUCUGGGAAACUGCCUGAUGGCGGGGGUUAAUUACUGGAAACGGUAGCUAAUACCGCAUACCAUCGGAUGUGCCCAGAUGGGAUUAGCUAGUAGGUGGGGUAAAGGCUCACCAAGGCAACGAUCCCUAGCUGGUCUGAGAGGAUGACCAGCCACACUGGAACUGAGACACGGUCCAGACUCCUACGGGAGGCAGCAGUGGGGAAUAUUGCGCAAUGGGCGCAAGCCUGAUGGAGCAAUGCCGCGUGAAUGAAGAAGGCCUUCGGGUUGUAAAGUACUUUCAGCGGGGAGGCGGUACCCGCGGAGGAAGCACCGGCUAACUCCGUGCCAGCAGCCGCGGUAAUAC